GCCUGGGUGGCUCAGUCGGUUGAGUGUCCGACUUCGGCUCAGGUCAUGAUCUCGUGGUUCGUGAGUUCAAGCCCCACAUCAGGCU
rnacentral:tRNA from 1 species